AAGACCACUUUCAAAACUUUGCUGGAUCCGGUGGACCCCCUGCAGCUAAAUAACUAUCAAUUUUCGUAAUCAACGACGAAUCAACAGUUUUGGAAAAAAAGCUCCUCAUUAGUGCUGAGCUCGAGUAGCUCCUCUUGUAAUAUCACAUUCUCCACUUCUGUUUCAUCAAAUGGAUUUAUGAUCUAUGGUGGUAUUUCCAUCGACAGAAUGUCUUCAAAUCUAGUUUUAAAAUCACCAUGCAGGGCAAUCAAAUGUUGAAUGUAUGUCUGAAUAUCUUCAUCAAGGCGACCAAUAUUUCCCUUCAUAAACUUCAAUUUACCAAUAAAAGCUGAAAUUACA